rnacentral:sRNA from 1 species
AUGGCAACCCUGGAAUGAAGUCUGUUUAUCCAUAGAACAGGUACAACACAGGCAGUGACAGGGCAAACUUCUCCAUAUUGUCCCACCAAUAAGCCUGGCUUGAAGGAGAUAUCUCUAGUAGUGAAAGGACAGUUCAAGCCCCAUCCCCAUUCAAUCAUUGGCCUCU